CGCUUGUAUCUGGUGUGAUUAUAAAGCAAUGAGACUGAUUGUCAUGUGUAGCUUGUGGGAUCCGUCUCAGUUACUUUAUAGCCAUACCUGGUAUCUUA
rnacentral:pre_miRNA from 15 species